AGAGGUCACACCCGUUCCCAUGCCGAACACGGAAGUUAAGCUCU
rnacentral:rRNA from 1 species